GGAAAAUCUAAACCAUGUUUAGAAUAACGGAGGGAAAAAGAGUGGAAUUAGCAAGAACCCAUUAAAGGCCCAGGUGUCUGAAGCAUGAACACAGGCACAACAAGAGAUUAGGUGGGGAAUAAAUGUGGUGCUUGCAGUGCUGCUUGCCGGUUUUGUUGCUUGUUACAGAUUAUAAAAAAAAUAAGCAAAAGAGGUAUUUAAGCGCGCAAAUGACAGAGCAGAACAUAUGAUUCUCUCUCUCUG
rnacentral:misc_RNA from 1 species